UGUCAGUUAAAUAUUUUUUGCUUUUUAACGUUUUGAUGCGACUUUAUUUUUAUUAGAUUUUGUCAACACUUGUUAUUCGAGCUCAAUUAUCGUUCACCUGGACUGAUCUAAGAUACGACACUCAUGGUUCAAGGCCCCACACAGUCUGCUCAGUGACAUUUGUUUGUCAACAAGACACUAUUUUCAACAAAAUCGAAAGUGUUAACAUUCAGGUCAAUUGGGCAAGUUUUAAAAUCGCAGUGAUUCUUUUUUCGAAUCAUUCUCCUUUCAAAUCAGAGAGGAGGCAGAUAUUCCGGCCAACGAAAUAAAAACCAAACAGGAAAAUGAGUCUUAACCCACAACAAAAGAGAUAUCAAACGCAUUGUCCAUUGAAUUGCAAAUAGCAGUCCUAGUUUUCGACUUCCCUAAGAAAUCCUUCUCCGGCCUUGAACUAUAAUAAAUAGACUCACUUUCCGG